rnacentral:lncRNA from 1 species
GGCAGCGGCACUGGGGGAAGUGGGUGGCGGAGAUCCGCCUCCCGCGGAACCGCACGCGGCUCUGGCUCGGCACCUUCGACACAGCCGAGGAGGCGGCGCUUGCCUACGACCAGGCGGCGUACCGCCUCCGCGGCGACGCGGCGCGGCUCAACUUCCCCGACAACGCCGCCUCCCGCGGCCCGCUCCACGCCUCCGUCGACGCCAAGCUCCAGACGCUCUGCCAGAACAUCGCCGCCGCCAAGAAC